rnacentral:sRNA from 1 species
UGAGGGUGAGGGUGAUGGAGAUCAAGUUAUGGCUGAUGCGUAAAUCUUCCUGUGUUUUUCUAUUGUAAUUUUCAUUUUUCGUACCUCUUUAUCGAAAGGUUCCCCCUUCUCCCCCUUCCCCCCAACCAUUGUCAUUUUUGUAAUCCUUUAAUAAAAUAGGGACUUUCCUCUUUCCGUUUAAUCUUUAUUGUUUACCUAUUUUUUACAAAAAGGAAAGGAGGAAUGUUUUUGAUGCUUGAGAAGUUGAAAAGUGUACUUUCCUGCUAGGAAUUUAAACCACAAUAGUAUUCAUCCAGUACUUAGGUUGACCUACAGCACCAUGAAUCUGUAUGUAGGGGAUAUUGGAGCAGACACCCUAUCCCUUUUCCGUUCUAUCUACAUUUACUGGUAUUUCUUUGUGGUUGGCGGGUUUGCUGGCAUGCGUGUCUCUUUUCCAAGCUGUAUGUUUCUUCUCCUUUUGAUAUACUCAAUGGA